CUGGAGGUAUCAGAAGUGCGAAUGCUGACAUAAGUAACGAUAAAGCGGGUGAAAAGCCCGCUCGCCGGAAGACCAAGGGUUCCUGUCCAACGUUAAUCGGGGCAGGGUGAGUCGACCCCUAAGGCGAGGCCGAAAGGCGUAGUCGAUGGGAAACAGGUUAAUAUUCCUGUACUUGGUGUUACUGCGAAGGGGGGACGGAGAAGGCUAUGUUGGCCGGGCGACGGUUGUCCCGGUUUAAGCGUGUAGGCUGGUUUUCCAGGCAAAUCCGGAAAAUCAAGGCUGAGGCGUGAUGACGAGGCACUACGGUGCUGAAGCAACAAAUGCCCUGCUUCCAGGAAAAGCCUCUAAGCAUCAGGUAACAUCAAAUCGUACCCCAAACCGACACAGGUGGUCAGGUAGAGAAUACCAAGGCGCUUGAGAGAACUCGGGUGAAGGAACUAGGCAAAAUGGUGCCGUAACUUCGGGAGAAGGCACGCUGAUAUGUAGGUGAGGUCCCUCGCG
rnacentral:rRNA from 1 species